rnacentral:rRNA from 1 species
CCCUUAGAUGUUCUGGGCUGCACGCGCGCUACACUGAUGCACUCAACGAGUUUACGACCUUGCCCGAUAGGGUUGGGUAAUCUUUUUAAAAUGCAUCGUGAUGGGGAUAGAUUAUUGCAAUUAUUAAUCUCCAACGAGGAAUUCCUAGUAAGCGCGAGUCAUCAGCUCGUGCUGAUUACGUCCCUGCCCUUUGUACACACCGCCCGUCGCUCCUACCGAUUGAGUGCUCAGGUGAAUAAUUCGGACUGCAGCAAUGUUUGGAUCCCGAACGUUGCAGCGGAAAGUUUAGUGAACCUUAUCACUUAGAGGAAGGAGAAGUCGUAACA